rnacentral:ncRNA from 2 species
AGCAGGACGGUGGUCAUGGAA